CGUCGCUCGCCUCAAUCGUCCUACCAACGGCGCUGCCCGCGAAUCUCGCCGAUCGCGCCUCAAUCUCGUCUUCCCGUAACGCGUUCAUCGCCCCGCCCACUUCCCCAGUCCUGCACUCCCCCUCCGAUCCGAUCGAAUACGUCGGCCACGCCAUACUCCUCCGCCCUCGCCGUCGGCAUCAUCCCCGCCAUCACUGUCGCCGUCGCCAGUUCCACCUCUGACGAACUGGCCUGCCUCGCCUGGAGACCGCCAUCCCCGCGCGCCACGACGGACGCCCGUGCCGCCUUGCCUCGGUGCCGCCGUCCCCACCGCCCCGGAGUGCCGCCACGAUCGACUUGCAAAACCCUAUCCGUCGAUCCGCUUCGGUGAGUCCCAUCCCACCACCCUCCCCUUGCCUGCACUUUGCUAUGUCCUCCAUUCUGCCUCCGUGAAUCCCCAUGCUACUUGCGCGGAUCGAUGGGAUGCUGAGCCGCCGCGCGCCGACGUCGCCGGCGCCCACCGUCUCAUGUGCGCCCCGACGUCUACUCGCGACGAUCGACGGGCUGCUCGCGGAUCCACCGAUCGACCUCCACUCGCGCGGAUCGAUGGGCCGCUGAGCUGCCGCUCGCCGUGGGCCCGUGGCCGGAUCUCCGGCUCCCUCCACCCUGCAUCCCUCCGAACAGUGACCGGCGGCGAUUUCCACCAACAUCACCUCCCCGUCCGCCCCUUGCGUUCCUGUGAGCCGCCAGGUCAUCGCCCAACGCCAUCUUUUUUUCCGAACAGUUUUGGUCACCUGUAGCUGGCCGAAGAGUGCGACCAAGGGCGCUGUUGCUGAGAAUCCAGCGGGCAGCGGGAUCGACGACAUUGCCUCAGUCCCUGGCUCUACGCGGGCAUGUCCAGGUUCCGUGGUGGGAAUCGUUUGAUUUCACCGAUACCUUGAUCAGCAACCAUUUUAGUAGUGUGUGUUGUUUUCAAUUGAUGAGCAUCCUGAUCUCAUUUUUAGACGAUGUUUCUCUUUAUAUGAUAUAUCAGUUCAUUUUUCGUUUUCUUAAUCAACCUGCUGAAGUUGCAUACUUGCAUGCCUGCCCCUGCAAUAGCACCAUGGCUUCUCUAAAACUUUGAGCCCCUGAUCUGACCAGUUAGUAGGUUAGAUAGAUUGUUCAAAUUCCUGGCAAAAUCAAUGUUAGCCACUGUAUGGCCUAUGCAAAUAUUUCAAUUUGGCCAAUCGAUGGUUGUGCGCAAUAGUGAUCUAUCAAUUUCAAUUUGAUCAAUCAGUGCUAGCAACUGUUUGUACUAUGUAAACAAUUAGAUGCUCAGUUGUCCGACUUCAAAUUUACACUUGGUUGCUUUA